rnacentral:rRNA from 1 species
AGCGAACGCUGGCGGCAGGCCUAAUACAUGCAAGUCGAGCGCACCGUCGGGUGAGCGGCGGACGGGUGAGUAACGCGUGGGAACGUUCCCUUUGGUACGGGAUAACUGAGGGAAACUUCAGCUAAUACCGUAUGUGCCCUACGGGGGGAAGAUUUAUCGCCAUUGGAGGGGCGCGCGUUGGAUUAGGUAGUUGGUGGGGUAAAGGCUCAGCAAGCCCACGAGGCAUAGCUGGUCUGAGAGGAUGCUCAGCCACACUGGGACUGAGACCCGGCCCAGACUCCGACGGGAGGCAGGAGUAGGGAAUAUUGCGCAAUGGGCGAAAGCCUGACGCAGCCAUGCCGCGUGAAUGAUGAAGGUCUUAGGAUUGUAAAAUUCUUUCACCGGGGAAGAUAAUGACGGUACCCGGAGAAGAAGCCCCGGCUAACUUCGUGCCAGCCGCCGCGGUAAUAC